rnacentral:sRNA from 1 species
ACCUGCAUAGCUGUGUAACACCUUUCAGCUAGGGUAAUCAUUUACACCCGCUACUUUGGCUAAUUUCUCUAAUUGCGCUUGGGGUAGUUGCUUUGCUAGAUCAUGGUAAGCACCAGCAGUAUAAGCCGUUUUACCAUCGAGUUUAUUUGCCACUGCUAAAGUUUUAGCUAACUGACCAACGCGCAAACAGUGUUGCAUGCGCGGUUCAUCUAACAGUGUUUGCAAAAUGGUUUUUAGAUAAAUGUUGUGUUGGUGGAUAUAGUGCAACACCUUAGCGGGAAUUUGUCGAAAUUUAUGACUACCAAACAUUUCACUCGAUGCCAAAUCUAAAGGACACUUACCCAACAGUCGGACGUUAAACUGUUGUACCAAUUGUUCAUCAAUUGGAUAACCGAAACGUUCAUAACAGACAAAACGACAAAGUUUUUGUAACUGCUCAAUGUUAUGUCAUUUGGCCAACUCGCUUAAUUUAUCACUGCCAAUUAAAAAGUACAACUCAGCAUUGGGAAAGCGCUGCUUAAAGUGUUGUACUGUAUUGAACGAAAAACCGUUUUGCGCUUUAAUGUCAAAGUUAGAUACUGCCAUCUGAGGCAAUGCUUUUAGCGCAACCCUUAACAUUGCUAAACGUGCUUGAUUAGAUGCUUUAAUCGGUGAUUUAAAAAAGGCUUUAGCAGUUGGUACAAAGUAAAGCUUUUGUGCUUUAAUGGCUUGUACAGCACGCUUAGCAAUGUAGAUAUGCGCUUGGUGGAGGGGAUCAAAUGCACCACCAAAGAUCACUAUUUUUUUUCUCAAAGAGCUUAAAUUGUUUAAUUCUAACUAAAAUAAUCCUGAUAGCUACAGCCAUUUGUGCUGUCC